UCCAGGGUAGCCUAGUGGUCAUGGCAUCUGCCCGGUAAGCGGAAGGUCGUGGGUUCGAUUCCCAUCCCUUGAAU